rnacentral:rRNA from 1 species
UCCCUAUGGGGUGCAGCAGGCGCGAAACCUCCGCAAUGCUCGAAAGAGUGACGGGGGGAUUCCAAGUGCCUACGCUCAGCGUAGGCUGUUCAGAUGCCUAAAAAGCAUCUGGAGGAAGGACUGGGUAAGACGGGUGCCAGCCGCCGCGGUAAUACCCGCAGUCCGAGUGGUGGUCGAUUUUAUUGGGCCUAAAGCGUCCGUAGCCGGUCUGGAAAAUGCCUGGGUAAAUCGUCUGGCUCAACCAGACGAAUUCCGGGUAGACUACCAGACUUGGGACCGGUUGAGGGAGAGGGUACUUCAGGGGUAGGAGUGAAAUCUUGUAAUCCCUGAAGGACCACCAGUGGCGAUGGCGCUCUCCUAGAACGGGUCCGACGGUGAGGGACGAAAGCUAGGGGAGCAAACCGGAUUAGAUACCCGGGUAGUCCUGGCCGUAAACGAUGCGGGCUUUGCAUUGGGGAUCCUACGUGGGUGCCCAGUGCCGAAGCGAAGGCGUUAAGCCCGCCGCCUGGGAAGUAUGGUCGCAAGGCUGAAACUUAAAGGAAUUGGCGGGGGAGCACCGCAAUGGGAGGAGCGUGCGGUUUAAUUGGAUUCAACGCCGGAA